rnacentral:misc_RNA from 1 species
GAUGAAGAACGUAGCGAAAUGCGAUAAGUAAUGUGAAUUGCAGAAUUCAGUGAAUCAUCGAAUCUUUGAACGCACAUUGCGCCCGUCAGUAUUCUGGCGGGCAUGCCUGUUCGAGCGUCAUUACGCCCCUCAAGUCCCCUGUGGACUUGGUGUUGGGGAUCGGCGAGGCUGGUUUUCCAGCACAGCCGUCCCUUAAAUUAAUUGGCGGUCUCGCCGUGGCCCUCCUCUGCGCAGUAGUAAAACACUCGCAACAGGAGCCCGGCGCGGUCCACUGCCGUAAAACCCCCCAACUUUUUAUAGUCGACCUCGAAUCAGGUAGGACUACCCGCUGAACUUAAGCAUAUCAAUAAGCGGAGGA